GAUGAACGCUGGCGGCGUGCCUAAUACAUGCAAGUCGAGCGAACGGACGAGACGCUUGCUUCUCUGAUGUUAGCGGCGCACGGGUGAGUAACACGUGGAUAACCUACCUAUAAGACUGGUAUAACUUCGGGAAACCGGAGCUAAUACCGGAUAAUCUUUUGAACCGCAUGGUUCAAUAGUGAAAGACGGUCUUGCUGUCACUUAUAGAUGGAUCCGGGCUGUAUUAGCUAGUUGGUAAGGUAACGGGCUACCAAGGCAACGAUGCAUAGCCGACGUGAUAGGGUGAUCGGCCACCCUGGAACGGGGCCAGGGUCCAUACUACUGAGGGAGGCAGCAGUAGGGAAUGGUACGCAGUAGGCGAGAGCCUGACGGAGCAGGGGCGCGCGAGUGAUGGAGGUCUUCGGAGCGUAAAGCUCUGUUACUAGGGAAGAACCGAUGUGUAAGUAACCGAGGAGAUAUUGACGGUACUUAAUCAGAAAGCCACGGCUAACUACGUG
rnacentral:rRNA from 1 species